AAUAUAGGAUACUGUGAAAGUUUGAUCAAACCAAAAGCUUCAUUAUGAGAGCUGCGAUUGUUUUCAACUGACAAUUAUUCUACUAUAGCCGGAGGAGAUGUCCUAGGAUAGCACAAGAACCAGUAAUUUAUCAAGACCUCCUGCACCCCCCUAACACCGCCCAAAUGUUCAGUGACACCCCCUAACUUUUUGACCUGUGUAUCCCCUACAGGGGGUGCCCUUACGAUUUCUGGUUUAGAUACAUGUCAGUGAUGAUAUGUUAUGAUAACGUGACUAUGAUAAUGACGCACCCCCACCCACUUUUUCCAACACCCAUCCACGCUUGGAAUUCUGGGUGAACCACUGAAAAGAACACACGGUGUUGGAAACACUGGCGGGUUCCGAACUACGGUUUUUGUCCCCGUCUUUUACCCCUAGCAGAUUGCUCCAGGAUAAUUCAGCUUGAGUUAGGUUGAGACUUAUUGCGAACCCACUGAAAAACGGUGAUAUACACCCCCCUAUCCUUUCCUUUUUCCUUGAACAUGUCCUUCGCCCUAAGAGAGCAAAAAGUUUUCUACACGAAGGCUUUCCUCGUUAUUCGGUAACUCGUUUAGAGAGAUGAGGUAGUCACGUGAAGAGGUGCUCAGGACGCGUAACAAGCUGACGAAAGCGCGUGACGCAACAGCUCACCUGGGGAACUUGAGAGUGCGAGAAACUCAAAAUUUCCCUUUCUUUUUAAGGUGUAUUUGUCGCCAGUGAAGCUGCACCUGAAGGACACGAGCUUGAACGUCGUCAAGUUGCAGUCGACCUCUGCGCUUGUCUGCCGAUUGUUUCCGAUUCCGAUUGCCCUAGCAGAAGUUGCACAAAGGCGAGCGGAUGUAUGAAAUGCGCCGAUGCGUCGCUAUGCCUUUGUAUUGAUGUCGCUUGCACUGGGAACAGUUGCACAUCGGCAAGCAAGUGUAAGACAUGCUCCGUCCAAGGAUGAACAACGUGGCUGACCGGCAACCGUUAACAACGAAACGAUCAAUUGCACGUAUAUGAAAUAAGAGACCCUGGUCUUUUCUUUUACUAACAUGGUCAUAGGUGGCGGGAACUUUUGAGGGCAAUAAAUUGUACUAAGCAGCAGA